rnacentral:lncRNA from 1 species
UCCACCAAAUUUAGUCAAAAAAUUUGGCAUCUAUUUGCAUAACUAUCUUUAAUGAGAUGAACCAGUAAGGUUGAAUUAGAUGCUAAAGCGAGGCUUCAUGAAAUUUAGUCUCCAAAAAGGGUUAUCAGAAAGUGUAUGAUUGUUUCUAAAUCCGCCACUGAUAUAUCCGUCAGUAGUUUGUUCAAGAAUAAUGUAUAGGCGUCAUCUACACCAGUCAAAUUGCG